CAAAAAAAUGAUUUUUUGCCAUAAUAAACUUUAAGCUUAACAUUUAAAUUAAACCUGUUUAAAGUAAAUACAUCAUAUAUUAUAUUCAUCCAUAUUCAUUAAAUACAACAUAAACCAGUUCAAUAGGAAAUUAAAUCUGAUUUAUUCACAUUAAGUCUAUUUAAUCGUUUCACUGGAAUUCAUUGGAUCCACCUGAAGCACGCGGGCACACCACUCUUUCAUUCCCGAAUAGACCUCGUGCUGAUGAAUGGACCGAGUUUGGUAUUCUCUCUUUGGAUUUACUUUGUGAAAACCAGGGCAACCUCUUAAUAGUUUGAUGAUGACGACCUAAUUUGAGCUCAGCGUUAUUCUUGUAAUUUAGUGCUCUUCAGAUCACACUAACAGUUGCCUCUGGAUCAAUCUCCUAAUCUACUAAUGUGUACAACUGUCAAUAAAUGUAUUUGUUUUUUAUUUCUUUUCCAAAUUCCUUUCCAGGCUCCUUGUUCUCGUAAUAAAUAUGGAUAAUUGCUCUAAUGUAUGUCCUACCUUCUUAUUUCUUCGCAAAAUGAUAUUUAACUUGUGUUUUUGUAAACAGUGAUAGCUGAAUUUCAGCAGAAUACGAAAACUGAGGUACAAUGAAGACUAUUUAAGCCCAAAAGUUAAAAUGUAUGCAUUUCAAUUACAUGACAAUUUUCCAUCUAUUUUGAUCACAUAACUCCAAUGUAAAAAAUGACAUUUCAAUCCAU